GAUGAACGCUGGCGGCGUGCCUAAUACAUGCAAGUCGAGCGAACGGACGAGAAGCUUGCUUCUCUGAUGUUAGCGGCGGACGGGUGAGUAACACGUGGAUAACCUACCUAUAAGACUGGGAUAACUUCGGGAAACCGGAGCUAAUACCGGAUAAUAUUUUGAACCGCAUGGUUCAAAAGUGAAAGACGGUCUUGCUGUCACUUAUAGAUGGAUCCGCGCUGCAUGAGCUAGUUGGUAAGGUAACGGCCUACCAAGGCAACGAUGCAUAGCCGACCUGAGAGGAGGACAGGCCAAACUGGAACUGAGACACGGCACAGACUGCGACGGGAGGCAGGAGUGGGAAAUGUGGGAAAAUGGGCGCAAGCCUGAUCUAGACAUACCGCGUGGGUGAAGAAGGCCUUCGGGCUGUAAAGCCCGUUUGUUGGGAAAGAAAAGCAGCAGGUUAAGACCCCGCUGUUCUGACGGUACCAAAAGAAUAAGCACCGGCUAACUUCGU
rnacentral:rRNA from 1 species